GGUAAUGUGCUUGGCAGUAGAAAUAAGGUGAUGAAUGCCUGCUGGAGGACCCUAAGGGUCAAUUUCCAGAAAAAGAGCAGGCCUAGCUAACUCAUUUUAUUAUGUUCCUUGACCAUAAAAUGAGAAGAGAUGAAUGGCAGCAACUUAUCAGCUUACUUACAGUCCCCUGUCAAUUUAACCAUCCAAGAAAGAGGGGACUUAACUGCUUCAAAAAAGGAAAGCAAGCACUUGAGUUUUAAUAAUUUUAAAAUAAUAUUUAUAAUAUUAUGAAUAGCUUCUUAAGAUCUACUUCAAAAUUAAAGUAAGUUACAGAGUGGUUGGAAUUCCUCCCCACCCCUACUCAUUCCUUGUAAGUCCUCAAAGUUGUUUUAUUGUGGUGUUUUAUUGAUUCACAAUUUGUGAUAUCUAUUAAGGAAACGUCAAAAACAAAUUGCAUCAUACCAGUUAAACAGACGAGUAAGACUAAGAUUACUGCAAUAGGACUUAAGACUGUGCAAUAGGGAAGAGAGAUUGAACUCAACUCUGCUAAAACAAAAACAGCAGAGCUUUUAAACACUGGGGUGAGUGAGAGGAAAAGUACUGGAAGACAUUUGGGAAGAUGUUGGUCAGUGUGGUUGGGCCAUCUGUGUUUGCUAACUGGCAUUUUAGGCUCCUAUCCUCCCACAGGCACUGGUGGGUAGGGGCACUUUCAUAAUUAUUAUAUUUUAAAGGAAUGGCUCCCAGGCCCUUGGGAAAGACACUCUUGGGUUGUAACUGGCAAGAGCUGGGAGAAAAAUUAUAUUUCCAAGGGAUGGAGAAAGAAUAUGCAACAUCAAGUUUUCUAAAGUAAAUGCUCUAAGAAAACGGAGGUCAGGGUCCUUGAGUCAAGGAAAAAUAAAUCUAAAGUUUAGUCAAAUGAGGAGAAUAUUAAGAUAUCUUGUCAUAAUUACCAGUUGGUAAUUCAAUGCUUUAUUUUUAAGUAAUAUGUAACCUGAUAUUUAACAUAUGAGAAACAAUCUCAUAUUUAAGGUGGUAUGCUUGCAUAAAGGAUUUUUUGAUGGUGUGAGGCAACAGAAAUGUCUGCUUCUGGCUCUCUAGUGGACUACAUAUGUCAGAGAAUGCUAAGUAUUAAUUCUGUGUCAUUUUUCCAUGGGUCUAACAAACCACAUGUCAAUACGUGGAUAUUUGGGACCAAGAAAAGCUGUUGCUAAAGGCGAACAGUCUUCUUCCACAUUAAUAUUUUGACACUUAACAUUACGAUUUUUCAUCAUAGAGUUAUCGGUUCUAAAAAACAUAUGUAGAUCUACAUCUCAACAAUUUUAAUUUUGGAAAAUAAACCUUGUAAUGAUAUUUGCCUUAGGAAUCUCAUUUGUGUCGUUAAGAAGUUGCACAUUAAAAAGCAACCUGUUCUCAGUAGUAUUUUGUCAUUAUAUUUUGCUCUUGUAAUAAAUCAGACCAAAAGCUUAAGCGAAGACCUUUUAUACAAAUAAAAACAAAAGAAAGCCAGUAAUAUUUUAUAUUUUGACAGUCAUUAGUUGAUUCUGAAAGCAUUUAACCUUAAUAUUAAAGAAUUAUUAUUAUUAUUUGGUCAACACUGAAAGAAGAAAAUAAAAACAAGGCAUCUAAAAGAAAGUUGCUAACUUCAUUCUUUGCUAGGGAAUGUGAAAAUUGGUGAUCUCUUGUCCUGACUCCUUUUUAUGCCAUUGCAAACCUUUCAAGGUCUCCAGUGAAAAGAAUGUCUGGCUCUUUUGUGCAGAACUUACCCAACAUGGUUUAUGAAGAUGAAUUAUUAAAUUUUUUCUUUAUCUUUGGCUUGUCUUUUUGCUUACUUCACACUAAAUGCCUUUGCUUCAGUCAAUAUUCAGUAUUUGCUACUUUACCUUAUGCCUUUUCUUUGUCUCUAUAUAUCCAGCUGUGUGUAUGAGUAUGUUUUUUAAUCAUUAUUAUCUUAGAUUCUGGAUAUUUCUACCAACCAUCCCUCCAGAAUUCCUAUAAUUUUUUAAUGCUUCUCACCAGCAGCCAAGGUGAGAAGGUGCAGUAACUGCAACAGGAGGGAAUACCAUGUAGAGCAUUUAAAUUAAUCCCUUUUGUUUCCAGAGAAACCAAGUUACUGGCAAGUGUGAGCUCUGGAGGAAAAAAAAAUACAUACAGUAAUUCCUUGGGUACUAACUUCAUCCUUAAUCCUUUGCAAUGAGGUUACAGGUUUUGUUUUUGGUUUGGGUUGGUUUUGGUUGGCAAAUUAAGCAUGUCUUAAUACAGCUUCUUUAGACCAUUAAGAAAUAAUUGAUUAAACAUAUCUUUUUAGUUAUGUAACACUGAGACCAUUUAUUCAUUCAAGAAAGAUUUCAAGAACUGCCACAUUCAAAUUAUGUGAAGAAUCCUUUCCAUAUGGUGGCAUUUUUAGCCAUUUCAUGUCAUUAUUUAGUACUCUUAAUAGAAAUUAAAUUUCACUUAAUGCCAAAGUAUUUAAAUAAUUUUGCUGUAAUAAUUUUGCUUUUCCUGGCUUAUAAGAAAAUUUAUUCCCCCCCCAAAAUAGUUACUUGAUACUGAGUUAUAUGGAAUGCCCUUAUCUCAUUUUUUUACUAUGAGAAAUAUACUGAAAAAAUGAAAAUAUAAGUUCUAUGGGUCUACAAUACGUGCACACUAUUUUACAAACAAUAAUACAUCAUAUUUGAUUCCAAAUUUGAAAUUUGGCUCCAAAAUGAAAAAAAGAAUUUCCAGAGAAAAGAUAUGUGUCUGGUGUGCUAAUAAAUGAGUAGCUAAACUAUAAGGUAAGUGGACACAUGACAUUUAUAAAAUCUAAAAUGAUUUGAUUCAUGUUAGUGUAAUCAUUUACAUAAAAUAACUCUAAGCAAAAGAAUAUUUUUUCACAUUGUAAUGCAGCUAAGAAAAUUGUCCUGAUAAGUCAAUUUGAUUUGUUGCUGAUGAAAUAUAACAUUAUAUGACUAUGGGAAAGUAGUUUUUAAGGUAUGCUCAUAAAAUUUUUCAUACUCUUUAAGCCAAUAAUUCCAUUUGGGGAAUAUUUUUUAAAAUAUAUUAAGGUUUAUUUAUUCUUUUUUUUUAAUUUUUUAACAUUUAUUUGUUAUUAAAAGACAGAGAGAGACAGAACAUGAGCAGGGGAGAGGCAGAGAGAGAGGGAGACACAGAAUCUGAAGCAGGCUCCAGGCUCUGAGCUGACAGCACAGAGCCCAAUAUGGGGCUCGAACUCACAAACCAUGAGAUCAUGACCUCAGCUGAAGUCGGAUGCUUAACCAACUGAGCCACUCAGGCGUCCCUAAGGUUUAUUUAUUCUUAAGAAAAAGAGCGAGAGAGAGAGAGUGAGUGGUGGAGAGGCAGAGAGAAGGAGACACAGAAUCCAAAGAAGGCUCCAGACUCCAAGUUGUCAGCACAGAGCCCAAAGCUGGGCUCAAACCCAUAAACUGUGAGAUCAUGACCUGAGUUGAAGUCAGAUGCUUAAACUACUGAGUCACCCAGUCACCCUGGGGAAUAACCUUCAAGAAAAAAGAAAAAACCUCCUUGCCACAAAAUAAAAUAUACAAAAAUAUACAAAGACCAUUGACAAAAUGGUCAAUGCUUUGUGAUUUAUAAUAGAAAACAGGAAAAAGAAAUAGAAAUCAUGAAUAGCUGAGGGCAAUGAAUAUAUAUAGAACAUUAACCUAAUGGGAUAUUAUGCAUCCUUUUUACAUUUUAAUUGCUAAAACAAUACACCUAUGUGCAAAAUGUUUAGAAAAAAUGCUAUUCUAUUAAGUUCAAGUAUCUAUCUUACAUUAGGCCAUGUUAGACAGGAGAAAGACCUGUGGGGUGUUUGUUCUUUGUUUUAUUUAAUAAUACAUACACAUGAGACUUUACUUUUUAAAGCUAAUAUAUAUGUCCAGGCCUCAUCCCAAGAGAUAAUUUCAAAAGAUUUAGAGCUGAGCACAGAGGUGUGUGUGUGUGUGUGUGUGUGUGUGUGUGUGUGUGUGUGUGUUUAUUUAGUUAGUUAUUUUAAAUUUUUAAUGUUUAUUUUUUAUUGUAUCUUUGAGAGAGAGAGCAUGAGCAGGGGAAGGAAGAGCAGAGAGAGGGAGACACAGAAUCUGAAGCAGGUUCCAGGCUCUGAGCUGUCAGCCCAGAGCCCAAUGAGGGGCUCGAACUCACCAACUGCUAGAUCAUAACCUAAGCCGAAGUGGGACGCUUAGCUGACUGAGACACUAAGGCACCCCACAGGCAUGUGUAUUUUUAAAGGGCCCCAACAAUUUUUUCUGAUGCAGAGCCAGAAAGGGACCAACAUACUAGAUGGAGUUCUUCCAUGGCAGGGAUGAUGUGAUCAUUGUGUGGCCCUGCAGUGCUUCCCUGAGACCGCACGGAGUGGGAAUACAGUGCCUGAGCAAGAAUGAACUGAGGCUAGAGGGGUAAAAGGCCAAACUGAAGCAUGACUGAAAUGAAAGGUAAAAUACACACACAUACCCACACUCACACAUUAUAUUAAUAUUACAAAAUGAGAAUAACAAAAGGAAAAAAGGCAAACCAACAAAAUGAAACCCUUUGGUUUGUGGAGUAGAACAUUAUGGAAUUAUAUUUAACUUUAUUUUUGUAGAAGCUUUGCUUAUAUUUUGUAAAAAAAAAAAGCUAUUUUUAAGGAGAAAGAAUCUGCUGGUAGAUAAUCAACUAAUCUAUUUACUUCUUGAAAUGAAACAGCAGAUUUAUCAAUAAUUUGUGUGUAGUCCACAUUACUGGCAUUGAGAAAAUGAAGAGAACCAAAUUUUAAAAAUGAGUGUAAACUAACAUACUCUUACCAUAUUACCCAGCAAUUGUGCUCUUGGUAUUUAGCCAAUGGAUCACAACCUUGUAUCUACACAAAAACCUAACAGAGAUGUUUACAGCAGCUUUAUUCAUGAUUGUCAAAAUUUGGAGACAACCAAGAUGUCUUUCAGUAGGUGACUGGAUAAACUGGGAUACAUUCAAAAACUGGGAUAUUAUUCAGCACUAAAAGGAAAUGAGCUAUCAGGCCAUGAAAAGGCAAGAAGAAAUUUUAAAUGCAUAUUCCUAGGUGAAACAAGUCAAUCUGAAAAGACUAUAUACUGUAUGAGCCCAAGUAUAUGACAUUCUGGAAAAGCAAAACUAUGGAGACAGUAAAAAUAUCAGUGGGUGCCAAGGGUUAAGGGGAAAGAAGGGAUGAGCACAGAGGAUUUUUAGGGCAGUGAAACUAUUCCGUAUGGUAUUACAAUUGUGGACACAUGUCAUUACACACUUAACAAAAUCCAUAGAAUGUACAACACCAAGAGUGAACCCUUAUGUAAACUAUGGGCUUUGGGUGAUAAUUAUAUGUCUUUGUAGGUCCAUAGAGUGUGACAAAUACAUGACCAUGGUGUGGGACGCAGACAGUAGGAAGAUUGUGCACGUGUCGGGUGGGGGUAAAUGGGAACUCUCUCUACUUUCUGUUCAAUUUUGUAUAGACCUAAAACUGCUCUAAAAAAUAGUCUAUUUAAAAAAAAAUAGCAUUAGGUUAUGUGGGAUUCUAACUGGAAAUCACCAAAGUCUUUGAAGAUCUUGCUGUUCAAAAUGCAUAUUCAGCGAUCCUUCACUUUGCCACGACAAUAUGAUAAAGAAAAAUGUCAAGAUGCAUAGGGGCACUUGUACCCCAAAGUUUAUAGCAGCACUCUCAACAAUAGCCAAAUUGCGGAAAAAGCCUAAAUGUCCAUCAGCUGAUGAAUGGAUAAAGAAAUUGUGGUUUCUAUACACAAUGGAGUACUACAUAGCAAUGAGAAAGAACGAAAUAUGGCCCUUUGUAGCAACGUGGAUGGAACUGGAAAGUGUGAUGCUAAGUGAAAUAAGCCAUACAGAGAAAGACAGAUAUCAUAUGUUUUCACUCUUAUGUGGAUCCUGAGAAACUUAACAGAAACCCAUGGGGGAGGGGAAGGAAAAAAAAAAAAGAAAAAAAAAAGAGGUUAGAGUGGGAGAGAGAGCCAAAGCAUAAGAGACUCUUAAAAACUGAGAACAAACUGAGGAUUGAUGGGGAGUGGGUGGGAGCGGAGGGUAGGUGAUGGGCAUUGAAGAGGGUAUCUUUUGGGAUGAGCACUGGGUGUUGUAUGGAAACUAAUUUGACAAUAAAUUUCAUAUAAUAAAACAUAAAAAAAUUAAAGAAAAACAUCAAGAAAUACUAAUUCAAUACAAUUAUUUAAUUUUUAGACAAUGAUGAAAAAUAUCAUAUCUUUGAAAUAGAGUUAGUUUAGGGGAGAACAGGAAAUUAUUAAAUUUAGUAUCAAUAUGAAUGAUACUGAAUCCAUGUUAGAGAAAAUUAAUAUAUAUCUAUAAUUUAAUAAUAUUCAAGAAUUUAAACAAUUAACUGAAUUUUGGCAGGGGAAAUUGGAAGAGAGACAAUUUUUGUCAGUAAGAAAAAAUUUUAAGCUGCAUAUUUUAAUCAUCAUAAACUGCUCGGGAUUUCAAUAUUUUAAUAGAUUCAUUUAGCUCUAAAUGUCUUCAAGCAUGGUAUAAAUCCUCCAGAGCCCCUGCUUUGUAAUAUAGCCUUUUAACAUAUUCAUUGUCUCUUUCCAAGAAAGUUCACUAUUGCUAUUCCAUUAGUCUGUUUUGUGAUAUAUUUCAAAGAUAAAAUGAAUAUCUUCACUUUUCAUUCAUGACUAUUUAAUCUUGAUUUUUUAAUAAAAAUUUGAUGGUAAUUAUCAUCUAUUAAAACACAUUCUUUCCCUCUUCUUGUGCAUUUUUCCUCUUUACAGUAAAUCCUACAUUCUGACACCACAGUUAAAAACAUUUUAUCAGUAAUUACAUCUAGAUAUAUUCCUUUUAUGAACUCAGUCUUAAUAGACUCUUAAUCAACUCGGAGCAUUUUUAGACAUGGCAAAGAUUCUAUUGAUGCAUAAUAGGAGAGUGUUGGAUUUGCCAACCUCGUUUCUCUUUUUCACUUUACCCUUCCCUUAAUCCCGAUAGCUUCAUAGCUUUUAUAGGGUAAACUUACACAAAACCUCACCAUAUACUGGAAUGUUAGCUAUGUGUGGUGUGCUGUCAAAACAGAAGUCCAUUACCCAUAAGUGAGACAGAAGCCAUCUUUAGAUGGAGGAGGCAUUCACAAGAGGUUCAGUAAAUAUUAGAAGAUAAGGCAUUUACAAGAGGCUCAGUAAAUAUUAAAACCAUGAGAAACUAUGGCAGAGAAGAUCAUCUGCAGCAAAAACAAAAGUAAACUGUUCUGCCUCUCUGAUCCUUAACUUUACCAUCAUCAAAAUGAAAACAAAAUAUAUUUACCUCCAGAAUCGCUGUGAUGAUUAAGUCAGAACAUAUAAAUGAAAAUUCAGUACUAGUCAUAAAAUGCCAUAUAAAUAUUGGGUAGUAUCACAAUUAAUAAUAAUUCCAUCUCAGAAUUGUAAGAAAUUUAGGCAGGCAAAGCAUUUAGAAGAGGAAAACACAGGCUACAUGCCCAAGACUUGAAUGAAAGUGAGAGCUCUGUAUGUUCAUAAAUCCCUGCAUCCCAAAUUCCUUGUAUUAUGUGUGAGCGUCUGCUGUGGUACCAUGAAGCAUAAAAAUAGUAAAGCCUGUUGAAAAUCCCAAAACAAAGAGAGGAGCCAAGAAAAGAAUAUGAAUAAUUUAAUCAGAUAGGAUUCAAGUUUAUCCCCAGCUUAUUUGCCUUUUAUUCUUCAUUUCAGUUAGUUACAUAUCCAUCAGUUAUCACCAAGGUUGUGCAUGCACCUUGAAAUGUUCACAAAAGGUCCACAAUACAGGGGUUCAUAAUUAGGUUAUAUGUUAUAUUCAGAAUCCCAGGGGAACUAAUCGAUUCUGGAAAUAUUGAUUAAGCAAGAUGAAGAAUUCUUACACAGUUUCAACUACAACAAUUUUAAACAAGUACAAGCUUCGGUUGCCACAAAACUCACAAAAAGUAAUUGAUUGAAGAAUAUCUCUUUUAUGCAAAAUAUACAUUUUAGGAUAUAAUUUGAUUAAUACUCUACUAUAUACUGACAUUACUCCUUGAUCAUUUAAUAAAAAAAUACUCUCGUUGCCAGAAUUUUAUUUUCUGUAAUAUUUAUAAUUGAGGUAACAAUGACAAAAACACUUAAACCAUGAAUAACAUUGGUGAGUUUUUUUUAAAAGUCAUAAUGAUUCUCCAGAACUAAACAAAUAUGUGACUAAACACAGGUUAGUUUUGAUAAAUAGGCACUGAAAAUUUCACAAAAAGACAAGCAGAUAACAUAAAUGGUUUAUAAAAAAAUGAUACCAUCGAUGUUCAUGGAUUCAAACAACAAAGAAGAAAUAAGGGAAAUUAAGACACAUCUAUACUACGCCAUUAUCACUGCCUUGUAUGAUUCACAGCACAAUCUACUGCAGGCCCAAGAGGGGCAAUUCACAGAGGUAUGGGCCUUACUUGAAGCUUCAGAGAUAUUGAUCAUGAAUUUGGCUUCCUUGGGUGUGAGAUGGCUGAAGCUGUUGACCCAUGCACACGUGUUGGUAUUUACAAUUGUCUCAUGGAUCCCGGCAGGUCCACAAGCAGACCACUCAUAUGGGGAGCACCAAAUGAGUUCCAGCCACAGUUCUUUUCUAAGCUUUAGAUGCCUCAUGAAGACGCAGGGACUUCUUCCGAGUGCGACCUGGUCACAUCAGGUUACAUUCAGCAGCAGAAGUCUGUUUCCAGUACAGUCCUUGGCAUGGCUAAAUUCCAUUGUCCCUUUUUCAGCAGUCAAAAAUCCAUGAUAAAUUCUGUACAACACUGCAGUCAAUAACAGCAGCACCAGACAGUAUAUUAAUUCCUUUACCAUAAAGCUAUAUGGAAUUAUAACUUUCUAAGGGUGGUGUCAUUAAAAGGAUCACAGAAUCUCUAAAUAUCAGAUGUGUACGUCUGGGUAAAUACAUUGCCGUACAAAAUCUCAGACAUGCAGUUCAUGCUUUAGGACUUAGAGAAUAAUAUACGUUAUGUGAUCAAUAAUAAAAAUGACAUUUGUCUUCCUCACAAAAAAUAAACAUGAGAAUUAAGGAUUAAUCCACAGUCUCAAGGAUCCUGAAUGCCUUAGAAAUAAUAAUGUUUAUCCCUCAAUUUAUAGUAUGGCAUUUUUCCUCCUUCACAUGCCCAAUACACCGGACACACUAUUGCUAUUGCAUUCAUCGGGACGCUGUAAACAGAAUUUCUUCCACUUGGGCUGAAUAAAACUCCCUAGGGGUUUUGCUGGAGUGUAGUGAUGAAUGCUGGUUGCUAGGUAGUAGACACUGACACUGCAGCCAGCAACCAAAUGUAAUGGUGAUACUGCUGCUUAAAUCCUGCUUAUCAAAAAGGUUCACAGUACUGAUUAACGUAGGUAGUCUACAGGGCAUCAUCCAUUUACACACAAAGCAGAGAGGCUGUUCCAAAUAGCAGAGAAGGCGGGGGGCAGGGGAGAGGACCCGGUACUAAAAUCAUGAACAUCUUAUCAAGGCAUUUCUGUGCUUCAUGAAGACAGAUGGCAUAUACAUUGAAGACAGGGAGCUAAGACAGACGGACAAAACGCCAUACAGGACAAAGCACCUGAUUCAACACUGCCUGAAAAUCUGAUUAAUCCCGUGAGUCAGAAAUUUAAGGCUGGUCAAGAAAGCCUCCAGUGAAAACAAUCAUCUUUGAUGUUUGCACAAAAAUCAAUAAAUAAAAAUAAAGGAAGGGGAUAAAAAAAGACACGAGAGCUUUGGGUGAUAUUUGGCACUUUGCCUCUGAAAAUGAUGACAAAUCCUGGGAUUGGAAAAAUAUAUAUAUGACUCUAAUACCAAGCAGCAAUUCCUGGCUAAACAAUGCAAGCCUGGCUGGCAGUUACCUUUCUCUCAUGUUUUGUGCCUUCCCCAAGUCAUUAAGUAAGAGCUCUGGCCUCAGCUCGCGUGUAACCAGUAAUGACAACCUCUUUGCAGUUAUCUGUGUGCAAACAACCAGAGACAUUCAGAACUCCAAUACACAUUUUUGAAGAAAAGUAAAUCAACCAAGAAAUUAAACUGUUUAAAACAAAUAUUUCUUUCAAAGAAUAAGGAAAAAAAAUGUCAAGGAGAAACUCGCCCUCCCUGCCCCACAAUUCAACAUGCAGAACAGUCAACCAGUGCUUUCAUAUCAGCAGGUACACAUAUCCUGAGCCAUCCACGGUCCCCGAACUCUGCGACAUUGCUUUCAGGUGAUAGAGACAAGAUGGUCCAUGCAAAUGAGCUGACCAAAGUCAUGUUGUGUGCAAUCAAGAUAGGAUCCCAAACAUCUUCAAAAUGGUUUAGAGUCACGAGAAAUGAAGGUCCAAUGAAGUGACCGGUGUUUGGAAGCACACUGUUUUAAUUAUAUCUCCCUGAAGAUAUGUUUACGUAUUAGCAUACUGGCCAAUAUCUGACACUACCUGUCAUUUUAUUGCGAAAGGAGAGCAGGGUAAUUAAUAUGGAGAAGUAGCACUACUUUAGAUAAUCUUUAAAGCCAGGAGAAGAUUUGUUAGCUACCCAAGUGGCAUUUCUGACUUCAAAAAGUAGUAUCAUGCAGGAUUGAAACUGUAUUUAAUGGAGCCUGGAGUAACUCUACAUUUACUUAUUUCCAUUUUGGGGUAAACAGUACUCGAAUUCAUACAAUUUAGCCGACUGAUGCAGUUUGGUUUACAAAAUAGAUGGGAUGGGAGAUCGAGGGCGCCUCAGAGGACAAGGAGAGUUGUAGGGUGAUGUUACUGGAGACAGCCUCAGAGCAUUGCCUGCCAAGCCCGCUAUGUUGUUUAAGCUUCGGGAUUUUUCAUAUCCUUUUAUGAAAAAAUGCACAGACAUCAGUUGAAUUCAACCAGAAAAUAGACACAGACAAAUAAUACCAUGCAGGAUAAUCAAAAGUGCUAUUUUGAGUUCAAGGGAAAAAAAAUUUUUUUACAAAGAAUUCAAUAUUGAGACCAUUUAUAACUUAAAAAAAUAAAGCUCACUAUAGCUGUCAUUCCCAAGAAAUUAAAUCAAUCAAAACUUAUGGUUGUAAUACUUCAAAAUUCAUUCUUCCCCACUGUAAUUUGUAUUGAUGUAAUUUUGGUAUAUAAAAUACUACAGAUCUUUUAAGAGUUAGGCAAAGCAACUUAAGUAAGAUAUAAACUUGGCUAAUAUUUUUAAAUUUCAGAAUCUGUUUCUAAAAAAAAAAAAACCAAAUGGGCUAUUUUUUUCUUUUCAUUUUGUAUUGUUUACUAAGCUAAUAAGCAUGAUCAACUUUAAGUGGACAACUCUUUUUCCAGCAUAUUCAAUUUUUCAGCUUUAUAGUGUUAAAAGGAUGAUUCUUAAAUAAUGGCGUUUGAUGCCAUUAUCUAGGUGAUGUAGAAUGCCCAUUUCUAUAUCUUUGGAUAAAAAAAUGUAAAGAAAAAAGGAAGGAAAUGAAAUAUAAAUUGAGUCAUAAUUUCAGUGAAUUACAGUCUGAACUUUAUGAUGUGAUGUUUUCAGUUAGCUCUCCACUGCCAAGAACUGAGAACCAUUUGAUCAUAAUUCACUUUUUCUAUUAUCUUGCGUUCUAAUCAACUGUACGUGAUUAUCAUGGACUUACGGAAUAAAAGAUCCUCCUCACAAGCUUUAACCCAGUGGUUUUCCUUAGUCACUCAAGCAACAUUCCCAUCAAAGUCACCUUUGGGAAGAUUCAUAUAUUGUAGCAUUAUUUAUUAGAAAAAGAGUAGAGGCAGUUCAAUGGGGUGGUUAGCACCAUGUAAAGUUAGAAGUGAACUGUCUUAAAAGCAGGACAACUAUUAAUUGAAAAAGUAGUCAAGAACCAAAUGUAGGAGUCAGUCAUAAGAAAAACUAGUCAGGAAAUAAAUGUUCUGAGAAGUCCACUGAAAAAAAAGUGUUGUCAAACAGGAAAAUGAAAUUCCCUCAGCCAAAGCUGAGCAAGUGGAUACAACUUCACUAAACUUCAUGGAUUCCUUAGUCUCAGGACAUAUUCCUUGGGCUCUGAUUAGCCCUCGGUGUGCAUGUUAGUAUAUGAGAAAGAAAAUGGGCCUAUUGUGUUUCCCUGUGCUCCUCUCAGGUACUUUUUUUAAUUUUCAUGGAACUUCUGGGGAAGAAGCUAAUACUAUCUCUCCUCCUUUCACUAGAAAAGAAGAAACAUUUUCAGUGAGUUAGUGAUUAUUUGAUUUUCAAGCAGCCAGUACAAGAAUGGACACAGACUGUAAUAACUGCUCUACUGUGGGAGAAGCU
rnacentral:lncRNA from 1 species